UGGCAUUCAGUAAGCACACUGCCCCUGAAGCUGGAGGCUCUAGUGAGCCCUUACCACGAAUCACCACUGACAGACUUAACGUUCAUGAACUUCUCCAGCCCUCCUUCAAAGCCAUCCAAGCCAGUAAGCAUGCCUGCAUCUUUGGCCAGAUCCAAGGUCCACGUAACUCAGCCUUCUGGGCUAGCCAGAGACUCCUGGGAAACUUAUAAACCGGGCAUGAAGGCAAGAGCUCUUCCCUGGGGCUCGACCCCAGCAGCAGCACUUGAGACCCAGAGAACCUCAAGGCCCCUUGAUAAUUUGAUCUCAUCAUAGGAAACAGUGGCUGACAUCUGGACUAACAAAGCAUCAGUGCAAUGAUAGAAGCAUCAUGUACAACACCAGAGCUUUUGAAGAGUUCCAUACUAAUGGUGCACCAGGGAAUUUCAACCACCUCCCCUUCUGUCACUCCAAAGAAAGAAAGAAAGAAAGAAAGAAAGAAAGAAAGAAAGAAAGAAAGAAAAUGACCAUGAGGGAUGUUUGACCCUCAGGACUCAGAGUGCUUCCUGGGGAGAAGGAGAUAAUAAGAAUUUGCCCCUACUACUGAGUCAGCAGUGGAGCUGAAUUAAUUGAACUUUUCAAAAGUUAUCAGUGCUUCUCCCCCUGCAUCAAUGCUUUAUUAAGCAGAAUGUCAACCACUAUGUAUAUUGCAAUGUAUGACUAUUCUGACAUGUGUAGGUGGAAGUAUGUAUAUUGCAGUGUAUAAAUGUUCUGGCAUGCGUAGGUGUCCACUCCACAUAUUAUGCACUUCAUACACACUAUUUUUUUCUAUAGCUUUAUGGAAGAAAUUGUAAUUUAUGAUGCAGCAGGUAAGGAGUUGUUUUUGAAAAGUUACACAUUAUUACAAGCAGAAUUCAGUCUAAUGAGAGGUAUCACUCUACAGUUCUGGGGCUAAACUACACAUGACUCAUGCAUCUUUUAUUCUUGGCUGAAAUUUAGGCUAAUGCUGUGCUGGCACUGCAAGGGAGAAAGUGAUUUUCAUGUAUCGUACUAUAUCCCCCCUUCCCUUUGAAACCUACUGUGCCUACUGAAAAUAUGUCCCUGAGGGUCACAGGAUAUUUCCAGUGGGCACUGGGGGCUUCAGAGGGAAGGAGAGAUUGGCAAAAAAAAAAAAAUCACCCCUCCUCAUUGCGCAGUGCAUCAUUAAUCUGGAUGUCAGCUAGUAUUAGUAAUUAUUUAAAACUUGCUUUUCUGUUUAAAAACAACCCACAAAGCAACAUACACAACUUAAAAGCAAAUGCAGUCAACUACAACAACUGGAAAAAGCAGAAAGGCAGCAGUAAAAUUACAGAACUAAAUAAAGUUCGGCCCAGCUGCAUGAGACUACCCACCCCCACCCCCCAGCAAAAUGCAUAAAAGACUGCAUGGAGAAUAUGAUUUGUGAACUAGUGUCAGCCAUUGCUAGGGGUUAUAGUCUGCUGCAAUCAUGUAGUAACAGUUCAUCAUAGGUUCACAUGUUACAUUCCUCCAGGCAUUGUAUUGGGGAAUAGUCUGGAUGAUCCAGUGGAGAAAGAGCAGCAGAGCUGCAUGUGUAAUUUGGCCUGAUACCUCAAGUGAACAUGGGGAAGGGAGGACUAUGUUUAAAGUACUAUCGAGCAAUAUGAACUUGUGGUUCUUGUUUUGAACUAGGCUGUUUACACAAGCUAGUCAUCCCUUGAGAUGACAAGUGCUGCUUUAUCUGAACACAUCCUUUAGGAUUAGGAGUCCAGCAGCACCAUUUGGGCUACAGCACUGCACUGAAACAGUUCAAAGAGUUGUUUCUCAUGAGCAGUGAGAAAUGGCAUCAGGGAUUGCAGGGAGGAAGCCCUGAAGAGCUUACCUCCUUGCAGACGAUCCAUUUACUUCUUCUGGGCGAACAAAUCGCCCGCCCAGAUGAGAACCGGCUGCUGCCAGUAGCUCCGAGGCUCAGGGUGCCAGGAUGCACCGCCCCACCCCUAGAGUUCCAAUAAUGCACCGCACAAGUGUGUGGUGCCUUAUGGAGAUCCCCGCUCUGAGUCUGCCAGCCACCCAAGCAGCAAAAUGGGGUUAGGAGAGCGCUCGCUCUCUUAACCCCAUUCUGAGGGGAGACUUUGCAGGCGGGUUUGCCACUGUGGUGUCACCAGAAUUGGGCCUGAUCCCAGUGAUUUACAAAUACAUGCUUGUAAAACCAGGCUGGGCUCCCUUAGCCCAGUUUUGCAUGUGUGUGUGAAUAGCCUCAAAAUCAGAAAGCUAGCACCUCUGAUUACGUUCACUGAAAGUUGUCUGAAGGCCAAAUUAGACAUGGCUGGAAUUCCCAACAUCUUUGGGGUCACAACAUGGGGACUGGGUUGGGAUAGUCUUUAUCUGUCCUUUUCCCUGGCACAAAUCCUUCGCAAAGCUGUUCUUGGCCACAGGGGUAAAAAAUUAUUGCACAAAUUUGUACUCACAGUUUCCCCCUCCAUUACUAAAAAUAUCUUCAGAGGACAUGCAAAUUAGAUCAGGAUUGCAGUGGAGUAAAAGAGGGGCUAAACCCCACUCUUCUGGUUAGUGGGGGGGUGUGGCACAUAAAUUUUCUUUAAAAAGAAAAAGGAGGUCAAGGUUGCAAUUACAGAACUCCCAUCCCAUGCCUAAAUUGGCCCUGACAAUUGUAAAUCUCAUGCUUACCUGGGAAUGUAGUGCUAGCAUUGCUAAAAACAGAUCAUAGCUUGAUUACUCAAAUUGUAUAAAUGGGACUUUAGUGGGGAAGGUGUUAUUUACACAUUUAAUACAGUUUUAGAAUUUCCCUGUGGGAGAACAUAAAAACAAUAAAGGAAAUAACAGAUA